GAGUUUGAUCCUGGCUCAGAGCGAACGCUGGCGGCAGGCUUAACACAUGCAAGUCGAGCGGGCGUAGCAAUACGUCAGCGGCAGACGGGUGAGUAACGCGUGGGAACGUACCUUUUGGUUCGGAACAACACAGGGAAACUUGUGCUAAUACCGGAUAAGCCCUUACGGGGAAAGAUUUAUCGCCGAAAGAUCGGCCCGCGUCUGAUUGGCUAGUUGGUGAGGUAACGGCUCACCAAGGCGACGAUCAGUAGCUGGUCUGAGAGGAUGAUCAGCCACAUUGGGACUGAGACACGGCCCAAACUCCUACGGGAGGCAGCAGUGGGGAAUAUUGGACAAUGGGCGCAAGCCUGAUCCAGCCAUGCCGCGUGAGUGAUGAAGGCCCUAGGGUUGUAAAGCUCUUUUGUGCGGGAAGAUAAUGACGGUACCGCAAGAAUAAGCCCCGGCUAACUUCGUGCCAGCAGCCGCGGUAAUACGAAGGGGGCUAGCGUUGCUCGGAAUCACUGGGCGUAAAGGGUGCGUAGGCGGGUCUUUAAGUCAGGGGUGAAAUCCUGGAGCUCAACUCCAGAACUGCCUUUGAUACUGAGGAUCUUGAGUUCGGGAGAGGUGAGUGGAACUGCGAGUGUAGAGGUGAAAUUCGUAGAUAUUCGCAAGAACACCAGUGGCGAAGGCGGCUCACUGGCCCGAUACUGAC
rnacentral:rRNA from 1 species